AUUAAACGCUGGCGGCAUGCCUUACACAUGCAAGUCGAACGGUAGCGCGGGGCAACCUGGCGACGAGUGGCGAACGGGUGAGUAAAGCAUCGGAACGUGCCCUGGAAUGGGGGAUAACGUAGCGAAAGUUACGCUAAUACCGCAUAUUCUGUGAGCAGGAAAGCAGGGGAUCGCAAGACCUUGCGUUCUGGGAGCGGCCGAUGUCGGAUUAGCUAGUUGGUGGGGUAAAAGCCUACCAAGGCGACGAUCCGUAGCGGGUCUGAGAGGAUGAUCCGCCACACUGGGACUGAGACACGGCCCAGACUCCUACGGGAGGCAGCAGUGGGGAAUUUUGGACAAUGGGCGGAAGCCUGAUCCAGCCAUGCCGCGUGAGUGAAGAAGGCCUUCGGUCGUAAAGCUCUGUGGGGAGGGACGAACGGCGGCCAUGAAGAGUGGCGAUUGACGGUACCUCCUUAGCAAGCACCGGCGUAACUUACGUGCCAGCAGCCGCGGUAA
rnacentral:rRNA from 1 species